ensembl:lncRNA
AGACAUGUUUGUUUACUUCUAAAACGCAAUGACCAAUCAGAGGAGUUUAGGUUGGAAUCCACGCAAUCACUGCUCCAGUCAAUAUUUUUUGUCCAAUGCUGAGUUCUAUCAUGCUUGUAACUUCUUUUUAACAAAAACCAAGAAAAUCAAUGUGAUAUUCUCAGUGAUGGGCUUAUAUCCUGAGCUGUCCACAUUUUUUUAUUGGCAUGGUAUCAAAACAUAAAUAAAUAGCAAAUGUAAAAGUACCUAUUCAAAUAAUCAAAUCAAAAUAUCAAUUAGAAAUGAAAUACCAAAUAUAGACUUCAUUCAAAAUGUAUCAAAAGUUCUUUGAGGAUGAAAUAGUUUGGAUGUAUUUCCGGAUUUCUCUUUCAACAGCACUGAAUAAUAGAGAUCGACUUAUUGAUCCGUUUUGAUUAUUACUCAGCAUUGAUAGUCGAUUGCUGGAAUUAGGUUUGAUUUUAGGCAUUGAUGGGGACAGCAGACAACAACAGACAUUUCAUUGUUUGAUCAAAAUUAUUGUUAGUGACUAUUAGCAGCAUCCAAUCGCCACAUAGAGGCUAGGUAGUGGGCUUGUGACUCGUUCACACUCGGUCAUUCUCAUCAAAGGAAAGCUGACGAUCUUAACGUGCUUUCGAAUUUUAUUAAAGCAUAUAAAACAUGAUCAGACCAAUGCAAUACGGUCAACAGAAAGUUGACCCGCUCCUCGCCCCUUCCAAGCUAACAAACAAUCCGACAAAGGAAAUAAUAAAGAAAACGGAAGUGAUCACCUGUGCCCACGUGACAGUGAAUAACCAAUAAGAAAUAACAAACAAUUAAUGCUCUUACAUUCCGGCCCCAUGAUUAUUACAAAAAAGAGAGAUAAUAAUCAUUAUCAUCAAUUAACAACAACAAAUACAUGCAUAAAUUGUACAACAUACAAAAUCAUUUACAAGUAUACAAAUGUGUAUGCAUUUGUCCAUGUAAAAAAAAAAAAAUAUUCUAUAUAUUUUCUAGUCCAAAUCUUAAGUCAUGUCAGUCAAAAAAGGGUCCAAGGAAGGUCUGUCUACAAGUCAGUCAUCAUAUACAUGUCAUUACGUAACACCUGUGUCGAUUGACAGGCACUGACAAUAUACUAAUAUCAAUAGGCCAAUAGGUUCGGCUCGGAAGGCAUAAAUUAAACAGCUCAACUUUGUGUGGAAAUAAUUCUGUAUUAAAAAUUAAAUUGGUUGUUUGAAGAGAUUGAAGUGAAAGGAAAAAAAAAUUGUUUCACAGUAUUCACAGUUUCAACUGAAUGACAAUUCUUAAUGACAAAAGAAACUCAAUCAAAUUGCAGUACAUGAAUUAUGCAUGGACUAAUCUGGGUGCACCCAAUAACUAUAGAGUUUAGUUAGACUGCACUCGUAUAACAAGUUCACAAUUAUAACUUUUGACAAGAUCAGUUAACUCAAAACAGGAAAAGAAAACGUUUUGAAAAUCAAAAUGUUACAAGAGCAGUUCAGGAAAUAUUGAUUCAAUGGAUUCUGUUCAAUAACUCUGUAAAGUACAUUCAAUUUGGUAAAUAAAAUUCAAAAAGGUUUGGUUCA